rnacentral:snRNA from 1 species
UGCCUAUGAUGAUAAAAA